UUCCCCUCACUUCUCCAUCACCUCACUCCUCUUUCCCCCUCUCCUCCGUAUUCCUCCUCCAUUGCUCCACCCCGUCUUCUCUCCACUCACCCUCACUACUCUUUCCCCUCCUCUCUCCUUCAUUCCUCCAUCCCCUCUUCUCUCCACUAGCUCCACUCCUCCCUCCCUUCACCUCUCCCCUCACUUCUCCGUCCCCUUCUUCUCCUCCCCACCCCUUCUUUCUCCCCUUUCCCUUUUCCCCCACAACUUCCUCUUCCUUUCCCCCGACUCCACCCCUCUCCCCCACCCACGCCUACCCCCCUCACCUCUUACUUCCCCCUCCCCUUCUCUCCCACCCCCGACCCCUACCCUCACCCCUUCCUUGGAGAAACUCAGGAGGUCUGGCAGCAUCUGUGGGGAGAGGGUCGAGAUGUGUUUUUAGUCAAAACGCCAAACACAAUGCAGCAUACAUCCAUGACAUCAAAACCUCUCUACGGGCUCAACUGGAAUGAACUCCAAGAUCUGUCCAGGACCAGGCACCAAAGGACCCCAAAUAUGUGCAUCAUGCUGGUUCUAGCUAUCCCACGAGCUAAUCGCCACUCUGCAAGCAAUUGUAGAGAUCUUAACUGCCCUGUGUACAAAGGGUAGCCUUGUCCCAUGGUAGCGUCCAAGUACUGUGCUGGUUUAAAUAGAGAUUGAGAGGUGGUGAAGUUAGUGAACUUGUACAGUAUAAAUGUCGCACAAUACUUGCCAGGAAUUUGAUUCAGUGGCAGUGUCACUCACAAGCUGCAGACUAAUGGAACAGCAGCCUUCCCUAAUGACAAAGUCUGCCUGCUGACUGAAGUGCCUUAAUGCUCACAAAAGCAUGUAAUUGAUGACAGGCUGUGCUUGUGGGGAGACUGCUACAGCAGAAGAGUCCUUUCCCACUGAGUACUGGCACCCACAGGGAAGACAAUGGAAACAAAUCCUUGUUCCUGCUUGUAGACUUCAGAAUGAAUUAUGUGACUGUCGUUACAGAAUCAUUAGGCACAAAAGGAAGCCAUUCAGCCCUUCGUAUCCUUGCUGGCUCUUUGCAAACGCAACCCACAUGGUCCCACAUAAACUUCUUCCUCUUAGACCUCGACUUUUCUCUCCAGGUGACAAUAUAACUCCCAUUUAAAAUUGAAAAAGAACUGUCUUAAAACCAAGGACUGUGGAAGAAAUUGCUACAAAUUUAAAAACAAGUUAUUGGAACUCAUUGUGAUUCAUGUUUACAUUGCUGCUUUGCAAGCAGUGGGGGAAGCUGGGAUAAAACGGCACAGCUUAGAGGUGCCUGUACAGAGUGACAUUUGACCUGUAACACGUUACUGAAUGGUUCAUGCAAAUACAGCCAGUUGUGAAGUCAUCAGCCUGAAGGCAACCCUCUGAUUGUCUCUUGGGCAGGUGAACAGCCUGAUCAUUCACAAUAGAAGGUAUGAAGCUUCCGAAUUACUGGAACAGCAGGUUCUACGUCAAUAAUUGACUGCAGUAAAAGUACCAAAAGCAAGCCAGUUAUUUUCUCUGACCAGUUGCUGUAAGCUGUUGCCUUUAACCAGUAAAUAAGGAACUUUGUAGUUAGUGUAUCCAAACGCUGUGUCCCCUGUGAAUUUAAACAACUCGGAAGAGAUCGAAGAACAGGUGGUCUUAGGCAGCAAAAGGAACAUCUCAUUGAAUUCUAUGGACUGCUGCCAGAGAACUACAUUUCCCCAGUAUUUUGUGUUCCACCCAAAACACCAUUUUGCUUUUGUUUGUGUGCGCGCGUAAUGGGGUUUUAAAAGAUUAGGGUUUCAACCAAUAGAAUUGUAUACUGAUAGUUCAGAGAUUAUUUCUAGUCAUAGGUGAACAAUUCUUUCUGUAAUAAAUAGUAGUUCUUGUUCAGUACAGGAACAUGGCCAGUA